rnacentral:rRNA from 1 species
UACGUAGGGUGCAAGCGUUGCCCGGAUUUAUUGGGCGUAAAGGGCGCGUAGGCGGGCCGCCAGGUCCGGGGUGAAAGCCUCCAGCUCAACUGGAGAAGUGCCUUGGAUACCGGCGGCCUCGAGGGAGGUAGGGGCGUGCGGAACUUCCGGUGGAGCGGUGAAAUGCGUUGAGAUCGGAAGGAACGCCGGUGGCGAAAGCGAGCUCCUGGACGUUUUCUGACGCUGAGACGCGAAAGCCAGGGGAGCGAACGGG